GUGUACGCAUACUCUAAGUUGCUUCCCGCUGGUUGGAUAACAUCCUGCGGGGAGGAGAAUUCAACUCUGCUAGUGCUGUUCUUCGUCUGAGUGGUUAGCACACUAAACAAGUUAAAACUUUCAACAACGGAUCUCUUGGUUCUCGCAUCGAUGAAGAACGCAGCGAAAUGCGAUAAGUAGUGUGAAUUGCAGAAUUCAGUGAAUCAUCGAAUCUUUGAACGCACAUUGCGCCUCCUGGUAUUCCGGGAGGCAUGCCUGUUCGAGCGUCAUCAAACACAUUCUCAAGCGUCUUUUUGCUUGGUAUUGGGAGAAGAUCGCAUGAUCCCUCCUGGAAUCCCUCAGCGGAAAGCCCCUUGUUACGGCCACAGGUGUGAUAAAUACUGUUCACCAGGUGACUGUCGAGGUGGUCUUGCUGUUAAGAGCCCCCCAGCUCCCCAUAAGUUUGACCUCGAAUCAGGUAGG
rnacentral:rRNA from 1 species